AACAUUAAAGUCUUGUAUGAUUUUUGGCUUACAACUAAAAGGGACUAAUAAUUAGUUGGUGUUA
rnacentral:tRNA from 1 species